UACAGAGGUCCCAAGCGUUGUUCGGAUUCACUGGGCGUAAAGGGUGCGUAGGUGGCUGGGUAAGUUUGAUGUGAAAUCUCCGAGCUUAACUCGGAAAUGGCAUUGAAUACUAUCUGGCUGGAGGUUUGGAGGGGGGACUGGAAUUCUCGGUGUAGCAGUGAAAUGCGUAGAUAUCGAGAGGAACACCAGUGGCGAAGGCGAGUCCCUGGACAACACCUGACACUGAGGCACGAAAGCUAGGGGAGCAAACAGG
rnacentral:rRNA from 1 species